rnacentral:sRNA from 2 species
CACCAUUGCAAUGCAUCUCACAAUCUGACAAGAAUGUGCCCGUUCGAAACUCUGGUUCCUCUGGCAAGAAAGUCAAAGUCGGGGUAUAAUCGAAAACAUAAUACUCCAUCUUAAAUUUUGCAAUUGCUGCAAGAAGAAUUUUCACCAUUUACUAUUAGCAGGGGAGAAUGAUCCAAUUGACAAAGGUGGUGAAGAAGACAAUCUCGAUUUAUAUUGUGAGUUCGGAGAAGGUAGUGCGUGCAAGAUUCCUAGCGCAUUUUGCAUUGGCAGUUACAUGAGCAAAAGAUCUGAGAAAGGAUGAUUGUCAAACCUGUCAGCAACUGAAUAAACAAAUAUUUAAAUAACAAGAAAAAAAAUGGAG